rnacentral:tRNA from 14 species
GCGUGAUUAGCUCAGUUGGUAGAGCACCUGACUCUUAAUCAGGGUGUCGAGGGUUCGAACCCCUCAUCGCGUACUA